UCAUGUCCGUGCUGCUGGUCGUGCUGGCCGAGCCGAUUGUGCGGUUGUUGUUUGAGCGCCGGGAAUUCGGGCAGGACGCGACCGCCCGUGCGACGCUGGCGCUGCAAUGUCUCGGCCCGAGCCUCGUGGCUUACUCGUUGGUGAACGUCCUGGCCGUGCGUUCUUUGCCUUGGGCGACACGAGGACGCCAAUGAAGAUCAGCAUUGUGUGUCUCGCGCUAAACCUGGUUUUCGCGCUGGGCCUGGUCUGGAAUUUCCGCCAGGGCGGACUGGGCAUCGCCAACACCAUCAGCUCCGCCGCCAAUGUAUUGCUGCUGCUGUUCGCGUUGCGCAAAAAACUGGGGCGGCUGGACCUGGCGUCCCUGCGCGCGACCUUCCUGCCGCUGGCCGGCGCAGCAGUGCUGGCCGUGGUCAUCGCGUGGUGGGGCGCAAGCCUUUGGGAAAGCAAACUGGGUCACGCCACGCUCUGGUUGAAGAUCGGCGCGGUAUUCGUGCCGGCGGGAACCGCGAGCCUGAUCUACUGGCUGGCGGUGUCGGCGGCGAAGGUUCCCGCCGCGCAGGAAAUCACGGGAUGGGCGCUGCAGAAGUUCCGUCGCUGAUGGGCAGCGAAUCAUCGGAGAACCGCACCUUUUCAAAGCCGAGCUGCUGCAGCAGCGCCCGGAGUUGCGUGCGUGCGCGGUCAUCGGCGGCUUUCAGGAUUCCACCUUCGCGGGCGGCGCGGCGGAUGUCCUCGACGGCGUUGCGGCGCACGGUUUGUUCCAGAUCCUUGUCGGAGGGUGCGAGCAGGCCGGUUUUGCGGUCAAUCACCUUGGUCAGUUUCUCGUCGAGGUAGGCGUCGGUGAUCUGGGCGCGUGGCAGGUUGAUGAAGAUGCUUUUCUUAUCCACCACCACGUCCUCCGGCGUCAGCUUUCCCAGGUCAAUGCCCGCCUUGACCGUGCCGUGGGCCAGCAGGAGCAGGCGGUUUUCGCUGCCCAUGAGCUGGCCCACGAGGUGUUCCGAGGGGACUUCGAUCCCCGCCAUCUUUUCAAUGACGUAUUGAACGGUGACCAGUUCGGAAAGGGUUUUGACCUGCUGCAGGAUCGCGACGGUGUUGUAACGCCGGGGGGCGGAGUUUGAAUUCCACCACCGGGACAAUUCCAGGCCGCACCAAACGCCGAGGCCGAAGAGCAUUAUCAGCAGCACGGUUGUCCGUUUUGAUUUCGCCAUGCCGGCAAUCUAGCCGGAUCGGCCGGUUUGCAAAGGGGGAAGUCGGGUUGAAUUUUCAAAUUUCAAAUUUCAAAUUCCAAACUAGACUGCCCGCAUGAGCUUGAACCUGAACGGCCAGUUUCCCACCCUCCGCCCGCGUCGCCUGCGGUCAUCGCCGCGCUGCGCCGACUCGUGGCGGAAACGCAGUUGAACGUCGCGCAGCUGGUCCUGCCCUUGUUUGCGCGGGCCGGAAAAAAACUGCGCCGCCCCGUCGCCGCCAUGCCCGGCGUGUUUCAACUGUCACCCGAUGAAAUCCUGCGCGAGGCGGCCGCGGCCCAGGCGCUGGGCGUGCCGGCAGUGCUGCUGUUCGGCAUUCCCGACCAAAAGGACGCGAAGGCUUCCGGCGCUUACGCCGCCAAAGGAAUUGUGCAGCAGACCGUGCGGCUGUUGAAAAAGGAGCUGCCGGAACUGCUGGUCAUCACGGAUGUCUGCCUCUGCGAAUACAUGGAACACGGGCAUUGCGGCGUGGUGAAGGGUGGAAAAAUUUUGAACGACCCGUCGCUCGCGCUGCUCGCGCGCACCGCCGCCAGUCAUGCCGAGGCGGGCGCGGACAUCGUUGCGCCAAGUGACAUGAUGGACGGGCGGGUGCGGGCGAUUCGUGCGGCGCUGGAUAAAAAGGGUUUCACCGAGACGCCGAUCAUGUCCUACGCCG
rnacentral:misc_RNA from 1 species